rnacentral:rRNA from 1 species
AGCGAACGCUGGCGGCAGGCCUAACACAUGCAAGUCGAACGAACCUUUCGGGGUUAGUGGCGGACGGGUGAGUAACACGUGGGAACGUGCCUUUAGGUUCCGAAUAACUCAGGGAAACUUGUGCUAAUACCGAAUGUGCCCUUCGGGGGAAAGAUUAAUCGCCUUUAGAGCGGCCCGCGUCUGAUUAGCUAGUUGGUUGAGGUAAUGGCUCACCAAGGCGACGAUCAGUAGCUGGUCUGAGAGGAUGAUCAGCCACAUUGGGACUGAGACACGGCCCAAACUCCUACGGGAGUCAGCAGUGGGGAAUCUUGCGCAAUGGGCGAAAGCCUGACGCAGCCAUGCCGCGUGAAUGAUGAAGGUCUUAGGAUUGUAAAAUUCUUUCACCGGGGACGAUAAUGACGGUACCCGGAGAAGAAGCCCCGGCUAACUUCGUG